rnacentral:lncRNA from 1 species
AUUACAAGGCCCUAGGGUCUACAUUUAUACCCUGCUCGAAGAGCUACAAUCAGACACGACUAGGACUCAAAUUCCAAAUUAAACAGAAUCCGUAUACAAAACGAAUUUAAAUAUCUAUGGAAAACAUAAACCUAUCCUCCUGUGACAAACCGGGACACCACCAUAGAUCAAUCGGCAACCUUCAUGUUCUCCUUCCGAGCCAUCGGCAGACUUCUCAUCAUAGCCAUCAGCAAAGACUAACGCUGACCACCGGUAUGAACGUGUCACCACUUCUGGACUUAGUCACAUUCAGCUGUCUUUUCAUCGGCAACCACCCUCAUCGGCAGCUCCCCUACAGACCAAUUACUGUUGCCCCAUCUUGCCGAUCUAUACUCUACCGAUCCCUGGGUACGUGUCCAAAAACGGUGUCAACAAAAACAUAACUUGAGAUACC